GUAGACCUGAAGCAGCGUACAUAAUAAAUCAACAAAGAAAUAGUAUCAAGGUCUGUUUUGAAAAUUUUGUGAGGACAUGUGGUUGUAUCGACAACGUGUCUUUUAGGAAAACGUCUGUUCAAAGAGGCGAACUUAUGAAUUGCAUCAGCAACAGAGUAUUUGGUCUGUCCAGAUACACAAGCCUCCAUAUCUUCUGGGCUUAGCUGAGUCUGUAAGAAGAGGUGAAGCCUACUGUCUGAAAGCAAUAACGCGUCUUGUAGGAUUCUGGAAAAAGAAGAAAAGUUAAAUGUUUUUAUACAGAUGCACAUACAUACAUAUAUUCUAAAGUAUUUUACCAGAACAAAUUCUAAAUGACGUCCUGCUUUUGAAUUUUCAGAUGAAUCCUAGAUCAGUAACAGAAGGUAAUGAACAUAUUAAAAUGAUUAGGUGUGUGUUACUUUCUUAUUACAUUAUUUGGAAUUUUAGGUGAGUAAAAACAUGAAGCUAAUAGUUAGGCACAUCUGCUAUUAGAAUAACUUCAAGGACAUUUCUUUCAUUUAACCAUCUGUUAUUACCACAUGGAUCAAUUAAUGAUUUUUAGGCAGUUGGAGGCAUAUACUUUUAGGAAAAUUUGGUCUCCAUUUAAGAACUCUUUUUUUUUUUUUUUAAAUAGGUAAGCUUUUCUAAAAAUUACAAGUCACCAAUUUCUUUAGUGGGGGGGAAGAAGUGUGUACAGAGACAGAGGACUUCAUCCACAUGCAGUGUCAGGACUUUGAAAUACCUGUUAACAACAGAGCAAACACUAGCCAAAAUCAUUUACGCUUUUACAAAUAUGUGUACAUUUAAGCUAGAAUGAAAAUGCUAAAACUGAACACUGACAAAUUUACUUGUAAACAGUUUUUCAAAAGUUUAGUUUUAUCUUUGGUUUAUAUGUAUUUUAAAUUAAGUCUUCAAUAAAUUUAGCACGGAGUAUUUACUUAUAUCAAGUGAGAGUAAACAAAAUACAACACAUUCCAGUAACACAAAAAAGUUGUAGAGAUACUUUUACAAGGACUGAGAAUUGAGGAUCAUCAUCACUAUUUUUGGAAAAACAAACAAACAAACAAAAAACCUUUGCUGCAACAUUUCUCUAAAGAAGGAAUCGUUAAUACUCAAAUCCUAGAAUGAUUAACGAGAUUUUUUUAUAUGUAAAUGUAAUUUUACUCAUGUAAUAGAGUCAUCAGAGCCUAUGACCAUGCCAAACAGUGCUCCAUAGAAAAUUAUUAAAAUAUCUUUAAACGAAUCACAACUGUUAAAGAGUCAAUAUUUACCUAUUUCUACCCAUUUAGGUUACAAAAGAAGUCAUUGCUAUGCAAUAGGAAACAAGAGAUGACAUUAAUGUAAGAACUAGUAAGAGCAGAAAGAAAUAUUGCAUUCUAUAGGUACUCUGACUAGAAUUAAAAGUGUAACUGAUUAGUUCCUUUUCUCAGAUAAGAUUAAUGGUGUGUUUGGACUGUAGUGUUUUAAAAUACAAACACAUUAUGAAAACUGUUCUCUAAAGUGGCCAACAUUACAACAACAUUUAGCAAAUACACUAAAGGAUUUCUAGCUUCGUCUAAGCCUAUUAAAAAAAAAAAACAACCAAACUGUCAAAUCAAGUAAUAAGAUACCUAACUGAAAAC